AACGCUAGCUACAGGCUUAACACAUGCAAGUCGAGGGGCAGCAUGAACUUAGCUUGCUAAGUUUGAUGGCGACCGGCGCACGGGUGAGUAACGCGUAUCCGACCUUCCCCUGUCCCGGGUAUAGCCUUCCGAAAGGAAGAUUAAUCCCCGAUGGUGUCAAGGGUCUGCAUGGAACCUUGACUAAAGGUUUUUACGGACAGGGAUGGGGGUGCGUCCUAUUAGGUUGUUGGCGGGGUAACGGCCCACCAAGCCUACGAUGGGUAGGGGUUCUGAGAGGAAGGCCCCCCACAUUGGAACUGAGACACGGUCCAAACUCCUACGGGAGGCAGCAGUGAGGAAUAUUGGUCAAUGGCCGGGAGGCUGAACCAGCCAAGUAGCGUGGAGGAUGACUGCCCUACGGGUUGUAAACUCCUUUUAUAAGGGGGUAAAGGCGCCUACGUGUAGGCGUUUGCAAGUACCUUAUGAAUAAGCAUCGGCUAACUCCGUGCCAGCAGCCGCGGUAAUACGGGGGAUGCGAGCGUUAUCCGGAUUUAUUGGGUUUAAAGGGAGCGUAGACGGGAUGUCAAGUCAGCUGUGAAAGUUUGCGGCUCACUCCGUAAAACUGCAGUUGAAACUGGCGUUCUUGAGUGCGUUCGAGGCAGGCGGAAUUCGUGGUGUAGCGGUGAAAUGCAUAGAUAUCACGAAGAACUCCGAUUG
rnacentral:rRNA from 1 species